rnacentral:rRNA from 1 species
UGGGGGAUAUUGCACAAUGGGCGAAAGCCUGAUGCAGCGACGCCGCGUGGGGGAUGAAGGCCUUCGGGUUGUAAACUUCUUUUGCUCUGAACAAGGCAUGCCUUUGGGGUGUGUUGAGUGUAGGGGUUGAUUAGCGCCGGCUAACUACGUGCCAGCAGCCGCGGUAAUACGUAGGGCGCGAGCGUUGUGCGGAAUUCUUGGGCGUAAAGGGCUUGUAGGUGGCUGGUUGCGUCUGUCGUGAAAGCUCAUGGCUUAACUGUGGGUUUGCGGUGGGUACGGGCUGGCUUGAGUGCAGUAGGGGGGGCUGGAAUUCCUGGGGUAGCGGUGGAAUGCGCAGAUAUCAGGAGGAAUACCGGUGGCGAAGGCGGGUCUCUGGGCUGUUACUGACGCUGAGGAGCGAAAGCGUGGGGAGCGAACAGG